GGGGCACCAGAAAGGGCUGAGCCAGGAGUGAGGUUAGGGGUCGGGCUAAGGACUGCCCAAAACAUGCUAAAAGGGCAACACAAAGUGAGAAAUGCGGCCAACCC